CUUCUACGUUAUCAGAUUUCUUCUCUUUCUUCUCCACCACGAGCUCCUUCAACAAUGGACUGCAACAAUCCUCAAUACUUUCUCCUACUAAAACCCCAAUAUGUUAAAUCUCAAAUCGUUUUUUCUCCUUCUAAAACCUAAAUCGGCCUCUCUUCGGAUCCAAACCCUUGACGUCUCGGUCUCGCUGAUCUGUUUGCUAAAUUCAAGCUUCGAAGCCCUAAUUUGUUUCGCCAUUAUCAUUGAUUUGUUCUAUUUCUCGCGUCACCUGACUUAGUAAAAAGAUAUGAAGGGAUUUGAACGAAGAUGUAUUUUCAGUGCUAUAUCAACGAGAAGGGUGAGAAGGUUUACACCACUAAGAUUUUUGUGUCUGCAGUAUCGGUGGGGAUAGAAUUGAAUUGUAAGGUUUUUUUUUUUGAUGAUUUUUGUGUGUGUAGUUUUAAUUCAAACCCUUUUUUUUUCUUUUGAGAAUUACCUGGUCCAUGCGAGGUCUACGGCGAGCUGUAGAGCGGAUACAAGCUGCAGCACAAGCAACCAUGCGAGCCAUCUCUUCUCUGUCAUACUCAUUAUGCAGCUUUGUAUCGAGAAGGGACACACUAGCAACUUUUGUUGAUUAAUUUAUCUUCAAAAUUUAUAGAAGCUCUUCUCGACACAUUGAAUUCAGUUUUGCUUUGAUAUAAGCUCUUCUCGACACAUUGAGUUCAGUUUUGCUUUUGUCAUGUCUGCUUAGUCUUAACAUUUGCUGUUUGUUUUGUCUAAACCUAGGAAGAUAGAAGUUCUUUCGGACAUUGAGUUCUUUUUUUAGUUCUUAUUCUAUAUAUAGAAGCAUUUUGAUACACAAUGAGCUUGGUUUCAUUUAUGUUUAUAGAGUUUCAUUUAUUCUGUCUUCCAGUCGGUUCUCAUAUGAUCCAUAUAAUUGUUUCAUCUGGUUAUUUCAGAUUCAAGGAGGGCAAGUGCGUCAGUGAUAAGAUACAAUGGUAAUAUAUGCAUUAUAAAGAUACAUUUUGAAUUUUGUUUAUUUCAGCUAUUUGAGCUAAGAUUUUUUUUUCAGUCUUUUGGAUAACCACAGUCAGCUUUGUUCAAUUUCCAUUCAUUCCUGACAGUGGUGCUGCUUCUGAUCUGCACUUGCACUUAUCUGAAGAUGCAGUUCCCUGCUAUUUUGGAGCAGAAAACUGGAUUAGUAGAAUCCAUGUUAUAAAGGGUGAAAAAGGUUAUCCAUUCCACUCACCUCUCAUUUAUUUUGGUCAACUAAGAAAAUGCAUCAUCAACAUGUCAUCAAGCGUUAUAAAAUUUAAGAUUCUUAGAUUCGUAUAUUCAUUUAUAUUCUUAACUCCACUACUUGACUCUCAUAUCAUGCUUGAGAUUUUAAUUUUCUACUAUUGAAACGGAAAUUGGACUAAACCAUUACUCAACAAUGUAAAUGGUGCCACAAGUUUCGAACAUUUGAAGACUGUAGGAGGUGUUGUACAUGAAACUUUUAAAGAAGCAUGUUAUGCAAGAGGGUUGAUAGAUGGAGACAACUAAUGGGACAAGUGAAAUGGUGAAAAGAUUUGUUGAAAAGCUCAUUCACUUUGGUGACUAUCCCUUUCAAGAUAUAAUUGUAUUUUUUGCCUCUGUUAUGAACUCAAACUCUGUUUUCUUUGUUUUCUUACACUUUUAUUUUCCAAAUAAAUUUCACAUUUUUAUUUGGAACGCUUAUGCACUAUUGCUCUUAUUGUUAUCAGCCUUCUCCUACCUUCAAGUUUA